ensembl:snoRNA
UGGAGGAUUGAGAAGGUUCAACAGCUUGUGUUGUGCUGUUACAACUGGUUAUAACCUCCUAAAGUAAGCGACAGCUCACAUAAUCAAGCCUCUCUGUUCCAUACAGAGCAGCUACGUGUGUUUGUUGGUCAUCUU